UACGAAGGGGGCUAGCGUUGCUCGGAAUCACUGGGCGUAAAGCGCACGUAGGUGGGUCGCUAAGUCGGGGGUGAAAUCCUGGAGCUCAACUCCAGAACUGCCUUCGAUACUGGCGAUCUUUGAGUCCGGGAGAGGUGGGUGGAACUGCGAGUGUAGAGGUGAAAUUCGUAGAUAUUCGCAAGAACACCCGUGGCGAAGGCGGCUCACUGGCCCAUUACUGACGCUGAGGCACGAAAGCGUGGGGAGCAAACAGG
rnacentral:rRNA from 1 species